rnacentral:misc_RNA from 1 species
CCCAGUUGCGAUAAAUAUUUUCGCCUAUCAUCUUUAUCCCUGUUAAUAAGUACAGUGAAAUCAGUGCUUCGUGAUAGCCAUGGCACAUGUGAGUGCUGCAAAAUCCCAUUGAAUUAGAGGUGAAUUUUUAUGCAACGGGAUGGCCCAACUCGUAUACCUGCAGUUACGACAAGUAUCCAAACAUUCGAUGCAUUUUCACCAAUCCACGAAUGCAGGAACGCUCAGGAUAUCACACAAUAGAUCCUAAUGAUCUCGAGGAUCCGAACGUUGCUUAUUAAAAAGGUUCAAUGCCCGUGGAAGAGGUUCAUUAUAAUGAUGAUGCAGUGUCUUCAUGGAUUAAGAUGUCAUGAAAGACGCUCAGGUAGCCAUCACCAACGGUUUGACGUAUAAAAUAUUUAAUUAGUGUAUAAGCGAAAAUGCUUUGGAAUUGACAACUUUCUAAAAAAAAAUUGAGUGUCUUCCUCGUUUUGUAUUAGUGCAGUUUUCAGGUAGCUGCACUAAUUUGCAGUCAGAAUAUCUCCCUUUUGUAUCUUCAUGCAAGAGGAAUCCUCUAGACGCGUGUCGAGACGUCCAAAGAUUGCAAGAUUUACAGCAAUUAUGGAUCAGCAAGCCUCACUGUCAUUUUCUACAUCCCCACAAAGAGUUCUGAGAAUACAAAUCGUUUGUGAUUCGUCUGUGCUAAAUCACCUUCCUUGAUAAGCUUCCAUGAAUAAUGCUAUACGUGAGGAUAUCUCACCUGUUAAAAUACUUAAUCCACAAUAAUGCUCUCGCUUUCAUACGUUGUUCGUAGGUGUGUUGCGAGCCGAGGAUUUGGAGGAUUACCAUCGAGGACUCGAGGCGAUGGAUUUGAGCGGAUUGCAGAUGCAAGUAAAGACCGAUAUCGGAGGCGAUUUGCAGACGGGGGCAGACGAUAGCGGAAGCGAAGGGGCUGAGUCGCAAGUUCUAGGUCACCACGUGCACGAAGAUGUGCAAAAGACGGUUACGAUAGUUAAGAAUGUCGCAGUACCUUAUCCCGUAGAGAAAACGAUUCGCUAUCCGGUUGUGAAGAGGAAUUACUAUCCCGUUAAAGUACCGGUAGUCCAGCCGUAUCCGGUUGAAAAACAAAUUCCAUUUCCGGUCAAGGUGAUGGUUAAAGUUCCAGUGAAAAUUCCAAAACCUAUACCGGUCUACAAAGAAGUACCGUACGCGGUGGAAGUCCCGGUCGAACGACCAGUGCCCUAUAAAGUCUACAUACCCGAGCCCUAUCCAGUCGAGAGGAAAAUUCAUUAUGAGGUUAAAGUUCCAGUGCCGGAACCAUUCCCGAUCGAACGAAAGAUACCGGUACCGGUGAAGGUCCAUGAGCCUGUUUUGCAACCGUUUCCAGUGGAAAAGCCGUUGCCUUAUCCGGUCGAAGUGAAGGUCGAUAGACCGGUAGCUGUAGAAGUAGAGAAGCCCUAUCCAGUUCCAAUCACAAAACCGGUGCCGUACCCGGUGUAUAAUCCAAGACCAGUACCAGUCGAAGUUAAGGUUGACAGACCGUACCCAGUGCCGGUCGUCAAACACGUUCCGUAUGAGGUCAAAGUACCGGUACCACAACCGUAUCCAGUCGAAAAAGAAGUGCCCUUUCCGGUGGUCAAGCCUGUGCCGUAUCCGGUCGAGGUCCCUGUUGAGAGACCUUAUCCAGUUCAUGUAGAAAAGCACGUGCCUUACACCGUCGAAAAGAAGGUCCCUUAUCCGGUCGACGUCCCGGUUCCUGUUGUCGAUUAUCACCAUAGUUCAGCUUCCGAUUCUGAAGACUUUCAAGGCGAUCAGCCCCCGAAGGAAUCUGACAAACGUCACGAACCUCCAGGAUCAAAAAAGGAAAAAGAAGAAACUUCCACGCAGAAUUCAGAGAAGAGUGAAUGAAGCUGAUGGCUACUCGACUGACGCAGGUUGCAAGCGGGUUGCAGGCCAGCAGGCGUUCACGGAGGCAAGCAAACCAUGAAAGUGAAUCUUAGCUCGGCCCCUGAAGAACUGAUUCUUACCGACUCCGGUGCAUGUCGUAUCGAGCAACCGAAACAAUAUCCACCGACAUGCAAACCUGGCUUCGUUUUCACAAAUACUUUCAUCAUGUUCAUGUGCUCGGAUGUUGUACAAUAAUGUAGCGAUAUUAAUCAUAAAAUUCUUUUUUUUUUACUACGUUUAAGAAUGACCUGCAUACAUAGAUUCUAGUCAAAACCAGCGGUAGGACAUGCCAACUGUUAUUCCCGUCAUUAGUUUUUUUUUUCAUUCUACAGAACUUAUGGUAUUUUGUUCUUAACUUUUUUUCUCGGUGUUAUUAUCACGAGGCGCAAAAAAGAUGCACAAGAUUUUUCUUGCCCAGGCAUCUGUUAUGGAAUCAUGAGAUUUUACGGUCUUCGAGAAAGUACCAGAUUGAAACUCUCGUUUCCCUGCAGCUGUACCCACGUGUACCAGGUACAAUGCCACAUUGUAGAGUGUUAACGAUUUUUAAAGAAAUGAAGAUUUUGGAGCAGGAGUAUUUACUGAGAAGACGAUAUCGAUUUACAGGAUUCUUUGAUCUUUCUUUCUUCCUGUUCCCUUCGACUUCUUAGUUAAGUUUCUUGUUGUUUCGUUGUUCUUCUUUCUCCGUAGAAUGAAACGACUAUCGAUAACACACAAGGAAAUGAAAAUAUAAAGACUUCUCGAAAGAAUGGGGCAGCUGAAGUAUAGAAUUUGUAAAGAAUUUUCUGGUGCUAGUUUAUUUUAAAAUGGUCAAUCUGUGCAAUAGGAAUGUGGAAAAUUGCUCGGAACAAAUGGGUCCAGAUCUAACGGUGUUCAAAUAAAAGCAAAGCAAGAAAGUCUAUCGAUUGACCAAAAGAUAAUUGUACAGUUGUUUUGACGUCUCGAAUAUUUUUUUGAUCCAGGGAAAGUUCUGCCUUUGUCCUAUAAAUAUAAUGCUUGAAGUUUGUCAACUGGUAUUCAGUUUACGGUGAGACACGGUUUUACUAACUUUGGGAUAGAUUUUUGCGAUCUUCGUGAUUUUAAAAAUGACACGACACAACAAGGAGAUCCGAGUGAUAGCGUGUGCCUUUCUCUGGCUAUACUUGAUGGAGGGGAGUCAGGGGACGAAAAGGAAGGAUCUCGAACGAGCAGCCGAGUUGGCGGUCGAGCGCGCCGCGGAACGAGCAGCGGAGAGGGCCGUAGAAAAGGCUCUCGAAAGUGGCAAUAGCACCAGCGAGUCCGAAACGAUACGAGAAUCAUAUUCGAGUGUGAGGAAGUACGACAAGAGCUUGAAACUUCCGGAAACAGGAUAUACGCCCGCCCAGCGUCGGGAGUAUGACAGAAUUAUGUUAGAACGCGAGGCAGCCGAGAAAGCAUCAGCAGUUUUGAAGAGAUCAAUCAUAGAUGAUGGAUCUGACUCGAGUUACGAGUCCGGCAUAGUCGAUGCGGAUCAAACUGCUGAGUCUCAACGUCAACGAGCGUAUUAUGAAAAUCGAUCGGGACUAAAUUCAGGUUCUCCACGGCGGCGUUCCCGUGGCACGAGACAAAUUCAACCUCGGGUCAAAGGUCAGAAGGACAGCCUUAAAAGGAACGAGAAUCGAGUAGACAAUUGGCAAAGAGUUCCGCCUGUAUAGCUUUUGCAAUCUCUGCUGUGACCUAUCAAAAUUACGUCAACCAUCGAAGUUCCGAGGUCAAUAACGCCGGAGAUUGCUCCGUCAUAUUGAUGGACACGUGCAAGCCGAUCAUGCCUAGAUUCAUCGGUUACUCCCUUCCAAUGACUUUCCCAUAUGCAUAUAUGUAGUGACACUGCGUCCUAUCUUCGAGGCUUCAAUCAAGUCUCAAUUGUAGUCACGAUAUAGUCCAAUGAUUAGUUGAUGCACUUUUUUGGACUCUGUACCCUAUCGACUGAGCAUCAUUCGAAAUUAUGAUAGACAAUGUGCUGCUGGACAUUUUG